GUCAGGAUGGCCGAGCUGGUCUAAGGCGCUAGUUUCAGGUACUAGUCCGUAAAAGGGCAUGGGUUCGAAUCCCAUUCCUGACA
rfam:Selaginella moellendorffii unplaced genomic scaffold SELMOscaffold_7, whole genome shotgun sequence.